UCCAUAGUCCAAAUCUAUAUAAAGGGACAUUCUAUAUAAAGCCCACUUCCCAGCAUCCCAAGCACCGGCCUUAUUGAAGUAUCCGUCGUUCUUGAGGUUGAAGUCAAGAUGACGGAAAACCAGUUUCAGAACCUAAAGAAGAGAAUAGGCGCCCAUCCAAAUCUAGAUAGAAAUGGACCGCUGCUGCAUAUGACCAACCCAAUCGGUGGCUUCAACGAGUGGGUCGUAUUAACUUAUAACUUGCAGGUCCUGGGAGACAAAAUAAAGGAGAAUACCGUGCUGCGCGAGAAGUUAGACGACGUGGUGGAUAACUAUGUCAAGCAUCUAGAGACUCUAUGCAAAAUAAGGCCACCUGAGCCCACGGCAUAUCCUAUUCCGAUCCGCGGUGGCACUGUAAGUCCCUACCCCAGCGAUGCCAUGCCGUAUUGGAUCGCGACGAUGAACCAAAGGCUGGAAGGUCUAGAGAAAAGCUUCAGGAAAAUGGAAGAGCUCAUGAUGGAAAAACAUGGAGCAUAACGUUACCAACAAACUUGUAGAUCCAGCUAAUCCUCUAAUGACGGUAAAUCAUAUCGAGUUCGAUGUCCAUGUCACAAAAAUUUCUCCCCUUUUUAUUUGUGCCAGUAUACGUUGUUUUGCGAGUAUUUGUAAGCGUCAAUAAAGGAGACAACAACUCUGGCGGAUUUCCUUAUGUAUCGGAUAGAGGCAGGGGAAAGAUGUGUAUUUAUUGUUUUGCUGAAUAAAAGGUGUUCUUGCUCAUAUUCUUAAAGUAA